rnacentral:rRNA from 1 species
UGAGGAAUAUUGGUCAAUGGGCGAAAGCCUGAACCAGCCAAGUCGCGUGAGGGAAGACGGUCCUAUGGAUUGUAAACCUCUUUUGCAGGGGAGCAAUGCCCGGUACGUGUACCGGGAGGGAGAGUACCCUGAGAAAAAGCAUCGGCUAACUCCGUGCCAGCAGCCGCGGUAAUACGGAGGAUGCGAGCGUUAUCCGGAUUUAUUGGGUUUAAAGGGUGCGUAGGCGGACCUGUAAGUCAGCGGUAAAAAUGCGGUGCUCAACGCCGUAGUGCCGUUGAAACUGCAAGUCUUGAGUGAGCGAGAAGUAUGCGGAAUGCGUGGUGUAGCGGUGAAAUGCAUAGAUAUCACGCAGAACUCCGAUUGCGAAGGCAGCAUACCGGCGCUCAACUGACGCUGAGGCACGAAAGCGUGGGGAUCGAACAGGAUUAGAUACC